rnacentral:rRNA from 1 species
UUAAAACUCAAAGGAAUUGACGGGGAUCCGCACAAGCGGUGGAACAUGUGGUUUAAUUCGACACUACGCGAGGAACCUUACCUGGAUUUGACAUGCAUAUGAUCGCUGUAGAAAUAUAGUUUUCUAAACUUUGUUUAGACAUAUGCACAGGUGCUGCAUGGCUGUCGUCAGCUCGUGUCGUGAGAUGUUGGGUUAAGUCCUUUAACGAGCGCAACCCCUACUGUCAGUUGCUACUUAUCUUCGGAUAAAGCACUCUGAUGGGACUGCCUGGGAAACCAGGAGGAAGGUGGGGACGAGGUCAAGUCAUCAUGGUCCUUAUGUCCAGGGCUACACACGUGUUACAAUGGUCGGUACAAAGGGUUGCUACUUCGCAAGGAGAAGCUAAUCCCAUAAAGCCGAUCUAAGUUCGGAUUGAGGUCUGCAAUUUGACCUCAUGAAGUUGAAAUCGCUAGUAAUCGCGCAUCAGCAACGGCGCGGUGAAUACGUUCUCGGAUCUUGUACACACCGCCCGUCACAUCAUGAAAGUUGUUUGUACCCGAAGUCUCUUUAGCUAACCCGUAAGGGGGGCGAGUGCCUAAGGUAUGGAUGAUGAUUGGGAUG